AUUGAACGCUGGCGGCAUGCUUUACACAUGCAAGUCGAACGGUAACAGGCCGCAAGGUGCUGACGAGUGGCGAACGGGUGAGUAAUGCAUCGGAACGUGCCCAGUCGUGGGGGAUAACGCAGCGAAAGCUGUGCUAAUACCGCAUACGAUCUAUGGAUGAAAGCGGGGGACCGUAAGGCCUCGCGCGAUUGGAGCGGCCGAUGUCAGAUUAGGUAGUUGGUGGGGUAAAGGCCUACCAAGCCGACGAUCUGUAGCUGGUCUGAGAGGACGACCAGCCACACUGGGACUGAGACACGGCCCAGACUCCGACGGGAGGCAGCAGUGGGGAAUUUUGGACAAUGGGCGCAAGCCUGAUCCAGCAAUGCCGCGUGCAGGAGGAAGGCCUUCGGGUUGUAAACUGCUUUUGUACGGAACGAAACGGCCUGGGUUAAUACCCUGGGCUAAUGACGGUACCGUAAGAAUAAGCACCGGCUAACUACGUGCCAGCCGCCGCAGUAACAC
rnacentral:rRNA from 1 species